GUCCACGCCUUAAACGAUGGGUACUCGGUGCUGGGCCGCAAGGUUCAGUGCCAAAGCUAACGCAUUAAGUACCCCACCUGGGGAGUACGAUCGCAAGGUUGAAACUCAAAGGAAUUGACGGGGGCCCGCACAAGCAGUGGAGCAUGUGGUUCAAUUCGAUGCAACGCGAAGAACCUUACCCGGAUUUGAAAGGCCAGCGACAACCGGUGAAAGCCGGUCUUGUAGCAAUACACGCUGGUACAGGUGCUGCAUGGCUGUCGU
rnacentral:rRNA from 1 species